UCGAACGCGAAAGUGGAGCAUCCAUGAGUAGAGUGGCAAACGGGUGAGUAACGCGUGGGUGACCUGCCUUCGAGUGGGGGAUAACGUUCCGAAAGGGACGCUAAUACCGCAUGACAUCCUGCCUUUGAAGAGGCGGAGAUCAAAGCUGGGGAUCGCAAGACCUAGCACUCGAUGAGGGGCCCGCGUCUGAUUAGCUAGUUGGUGGGGUAACGGCUCACCAAGGCAACGAUCAGUAUCCGGCCUGAGAGGGCGGACGGACACACUGGGACUGAGACACGGCCCAGACUCCUACGGGAGGCAGCAGUGGGGAAUUGUUCGCAAUGGGCGCAAGCCUGACGACGCAACGCCGCGUGGAGGAUGAAGAUCUUCGGGUCGUAAACUCCUUUCGAUCGAGACGAACAGCCUCCGGGUGAACAAUCUGGAGGUCUGACGGUACCGAGAGAAGAAGCCCCGGCUAACUCCGUGCCAGCAGCCGCGGUAAUACGGGGGGGGCAAGCGUUGUUCGGAAUUACUGGGCGUAAAGGGCUCGUAGGCGGCCAACUAAGUCAGACGUGAAAUCCCUCGGCUUAACCGGGGAACUGCGUCUGAUACUGGAUGGCUUGAGUUUGGGAGAGGGAUGCGGAAUUCCAGGUGUAGCGGUGAAAUGCGUAGAUAUCUGGAGGAACACCGGUGGCGAAGGCGGCAUCCUGGACCAACACUGACGCUGAGUGAGCGAAAGCCAGGGGAGCAAACGGGAUUAGAUACCCCGGUAGUCCUGGCC
rnacentral:rRNA from 1 species